UAGGGAAUCUUCGGCAAUGGGGGGAACCCUGACCGAGCAACGCCGCGUGAGUGAAGAAGGUUUUCGGAUCGUAAAGCUCUGUUGUUAAGGAAGAACGAGUGUGAGAAUGGAAAGUUCAUGCUGUGACGGUACUUAACCAGAAAGGGACGGCUAACUACGUGCCAGCAGCCGCGGUAAUACGUAGGUCCCGAGCGUUGUCCGGAUUUAUUGGGCGUAAAGCGAGCGCAGGCGGUUAGAAAAGUCUGAAGUGAAAGGCAGUGGCUCAACCAUUGUAGGCUUUGGAAAAUGUUUAACUUGAGUGCAGAAGGGGAGAGUGGAAUUCCAUGUGUAGCGGUGAAAUGCGUAGAUAUAUGGAGGAACACCGGUGGCGAAAGCGGCUCUCUGGUCUGUAACUGACGCUGAGGCUCGAAAGCGUGGGGAGCGAACAGG
rnacentral:rRNA from 1 species